ACCAGUCUUCACAAUCAACAGAGUGGCUGUGCGGAUGUGGGCUGCUUCUUUGAGGCAGUAAAUCGAGUUCAGCCACUUGCACAUUAUACAGUUGUGUCAGGCUCUCUAUGGUUCAGAGAAAAAAAAUGUACCCUCCUCCUGGAGGAAUUUUAUGUUGCUAACAUUUCGUAUGGUUAGUGACUUCUAUACACAGGUUAUCAGCAAUGAAUUUAGGAAUU